UUGAGUUUCCAUUGCAAAAUUGGGUUCAUAUUGGAUGUGAGGUUUGCCCUAAUCACAUGAAACUACAGAUUAAUGGAGAGAUUGUUGGAGAAAAACCGCUGUCAUCAAAUAAGGAACCCAGUUCAAAUGAUUUGAGGAAAAUAGUUUUGGCAAAUAUUGGUGGAGAUGGAAAUAUUUCACACGGUUAUGUGUACAAUUUUCAAGUUUUCCCUUCUGUUUCAUCUAUUAAAGAUCACCAUAUGAAGGUGAUUGGG